CACCGGCGGCUCGAGUGGUGGCCACUUUUAUUGGGUCUAAAGCGUCCGUAGCCGGCUUGGCAAGUCCCCUGGGAAAUCUGGCGGCUUAACCGUCAGGCGUCCAGAGGAUACUGCCAGGCUUGGCACCGGGAGAGGUGAGAGGUACCUCAGGGGUAGGGGUGAAAUCUUGUGAUCCCUGAGGGACCACCAGUGGCGAAGGCGUCUCCCUAGAACGGGUCCAACGUUCAGGGGCGAAAGCUGGGGGCACGAACAGG
rnacentral:rRNA from 1 species